rnacentral:rRNA from 1 species
AUUGAACGCUGGCGGAAUGCUUUACACAUGCAAGUCGAACGGCAGCACGGGGGCAGCCCUGGUGGCGAGUGGCGAACGGGUGAGUAAUACAUCGGAACGUGCCCGGUCGUGGGGGAUAACGUAGCGAAAGUUACGCUAAUACCGCAUACGAUCUGAGGAUGAAAGCGGGGGACCUUCGGGCCUCGCGCGAUCGGAGCGGCCGAUGUCAGAUUAGGUAGUUGGUGGGGUAAAGGCCUACCAAGCCGACGAUCUGUAGCUGGUCUGAGAGGACGACCAGCCACACUGGGACUGAGACACGGCCCAGACUCCUACGGGAGGCAGCAGUGGGGAAUUUUGGACAAUGGGCGCAAGCCUGAUCCAGCCAUACCGCGUGCAGGACGAAGGCCUUCGGGUUGUAAACUGCUUUUGUACGGAACGAAAAGGCUCUGGCUAAUACCUGGGGCUCAUGACGGUACCGUAAGAAUAAGCACCGGCUAACUACGUG